rnacentral:rRNA from 1 species
UACGUAGGGUGCGAGCGUUAAUCGGAAUUACUGGGCGUAAAGCGUGCGCAGGCGGCUUUGCAAGACAGAUGUGAAAUCCCCGGGCUCAACCUGGGAACUGCAUUUGUGACUGCAAGGCUAGAGUACGGCAGAGGGGGAUGGAAUUCCGCGUGUAGCAGUGAAAUGCGUAGAUAUGCGGAGGAACACCAAUGGCGAAGGCAAUCCCCUGGGCCUGUACUGAC